CUUGUAUAAGCUUUUGUUUUGAAAACUUAAGAAAGAAUAUUUAUUCUAUUAAUUU
rnacentral:tRNA from 1 species